UCCAUGCCUCGAUUGUUAGCGUUUUUAUUUAUUCACUAAAGAUAUAAUUAUAUCUAUAUUGAAAUACAAAUACAGCCAGUAAAACCAAGUAAACUUUACUUGAUUUUUCUUGAAGGUGUGAUGAUAGCAAGCACCCUGAACUAAGUAUUGCCGGCCGACUCCUUCUUGUUGUUAUUGGGCAUCAUCAUGAAACCGCAAGUCCGCCGCCAGUGAGUUGGUCAAAGUAGUUUUUUUUACCUUUCUUUUUCUUGUUAUAAUAUUUGCUGCCAAAUUUUAAGAAAGAAAAAGGGAUUUCUUAGAACAAGAUUGCUCUUUUUCUUUGUUCGAUUUUUU
rnacentral:lncRNA from 1 species